AGAGUUUGAUGGUGGCUCAGGAUGAACGCUAGCGGCAGGCCUAAUACAUGCAAGUCGAACGGUAAGUCCCUGCUUGCAGGGAACACGAGUGGCGCACGGGUGCGUAACGCGUAUGCAACCUACCUUCAACAGGAGGAUAGCCCCGAGAAAUCGGGAUUAAUACUCCAUAAUGAUAUGAACUGGCAUCGGUUUAUAUUUAAAGCUCCGGCGGUUGAAGAUGGGCAUGCGUGACAUUAGUUAGUUGGUGAGGUAACGGCUCACCAAGGCAACGAUGUCUAGGGGUUCUGAGAGGAUUAUCCCCCACACUGGUACUGAGACACGGACCAGACUCCUACGGGAGGCAGCAGUAAGGAAUAUUGGUCAAUGGACGCAAGUCUGAACCAGCCAUGCCGCGUGCAGGAUGACGGCCCUAUGGGUUGUAAACUGCUUUUAUUUACCAAGAAACCUAUUUACGUGUAAGUAGCUGACGGUAGUAAAUGAAUAAGCACCGGCUAACUCCGUGCCAGCAGCCGCGGUAAUACGGAGGGUGCAAGCGUUAUCCGGAUUUAUUGGGUUUAAAGGGUGCGCAGGCGGAUGAUUAAGUCAGUGGUGAAAGCCCACAGCUCAACUGUGGAACUGCCAUUGAUACUGAUUAUCUUGAGUAUAGUUGUAGUAGGCGGAAUAUGUCAUGUAGCGGUGAAAUGCUUAGAUAUGACAUAGAACACCGAUCGCGAAGGCAGCUUACUAAGCUAUAACUGACGCUCAGGCACGAAAGCGUGGGGAGCAAACAGGAUUAGAUACCCUGGUAGUCCACGCCGUAAACGAUGAUAACUCGAUGUUGGCGAUACACAGUCAGCGUCCAAGCGAAAGCGUUAAGUUAUCCACCUGGGGGAGUACGAUCGCAAGGUUGAAACUCAAAGGGA
rnacentral:rRNA from 1 species